UGGGGAAUAUUGGACAAUGGGCGCAAGCCUGAUCCAGCAAUGCCGCGUGUGUGAAGAAGGCCUUCGGGUCGUAAAGCACUUUUAUCAGGAGCGAAACGCUGUCGGCUAAUACCCGGCGGAACUGACGGUACCUGAGGAAUAAGCACCGGCUAACUUCGUGCCAGCAGCCGCGGUAAUACGAAGGGUGCAAGCGUUAAUCGGAAUUACUGGGCGUAAAGCGUGCGUAGGCGGUUUCUUAAGUCUGCUGUGAAAUCCCCGGGCUCAACCUGGGAAUGGCAGUGGAUACUGGGAGGCUAGAGUGUGUCAGAGGGUGGUGGAAUUCCCGGUGUAGCGGUGAAAUGCGUAGAGAUCGGGAGGAACAUCAGUGGCGAAGGCGGCCACCUGGGACAACACUGACGCUGAGGCACGAAAGCGUGGGGAGCAAACAGGAUUAGAUACCCUGGUAGUCCACGCCCUAAAGCGAUGCGAACUGGAUGUUGGUCUCAACUCGGAGAUCAGUGUCGAAGCUAACGCGUUAAGUUCGCCGCCUGGGGAGUACGGUCGCAAGACUGAAACUCAAAUGAAUUGACGGGGUCAUAGCUGUUUCC
rnacentral:rRNA from 1 species